ACCAUCCUGCGAUGUACGUGACGGUUCUCAGUUGUUUUGAACCAAUGACUGUUUCUAGGGAGACCAAUAAGACGGCGUGGCUGACAUGCCCCACGAACGGGGACUUCAUAAGCGCUGCUGAGGACACCCACCUGCGAGAGCGGGUUCUGAAACACAGGAGCCGAACGGCAUAUGCGGGAUUCCU
rnacentral:other from 1 species